GGGGUUGUGGCUCAGUGGCAGAGCACUUGCCUAGCAUGUAUGUGGCACUGGAUUCUAUUCUCAGCACCACA
rnacentral:tRNA from 1 species